ACCUUCUAUUUAAUACCUAAAUAACGAUAAAAUAUCUAGGUUUGUGUCUAAUUAUUAGGGUGAUUUGGUAAUGGGUCCUUUUUAUUUCUUAACGUCCAUUAUGUACCUACCUACAAACAAUGUAUUUAAACCAUUGUUACAAUUAACAGAUUCCACUAAUACUGCAACCCAAUCCAGUACAACCCAGUGGAAGAAUGACCAGAAAUGCAAAAAUAUUUCAAGAAACUAUGGGAUAUUUUCUCGUCGUAGUCAACAUGAGACACAUUCUCUUCAAGGUUCUACCGAAAAGCAAAGAGGGGGUGAUCGGAAAGGAGCAAAAUGUUCAAGAAAACUCUUAAUGACUAACUAAAAAUGAAGGUUUUUCUAAUAAAGGCAAGUGCCAAAAUGUACCGUAUAAAUAUAUUUUGUGAUUAUGCAUGUAAUAAUUAAUAAACGUUUUAAAAUUCAAA